ensembl:lncRNA
CUCCACUGAGGUUCCCAGAGGGGCAGUUUGCGUCCUCGGGGAUGACGUUUGCUGUAGGAACUUGGGACGGGAUUCGGCAGAGCUGCCCUGAGGAUCACUGGGCAUCUCCAUCAACUGUGACGUCACAAGUGAAUCUUUGUACGGAUGAUUAGGACACAAUCAAGGACAGAGCCCGCUGGUCUAGCAGAUUCUCUAAUGCACAGGAUUCCUGGUGUGAGCCUUAUAAUCCUAAAGUUCCUCUAUUACCUGCACACACGGGGCCCUGAACCAAGAACUUUCUAGGCACACUUUCUAGGUACUGGAGGCAAGAUCAGAAACAGAAGUGGACUCAGCCUGGAGGAGCUGGAGAUUUAUGACAGCGUCUCGAGUGUGCUCAACACGUCAGCAUAACGUUUUCUGGAAUCAGAAUCCUUACCAUUAAAAUGAGAUCUCAUUUGUCAAAGGAGAAACGCAAAGCAGAGGUGACAUUUCAGAAGUCCUCACGAAGGCCAGCGAUGUCUCACCAUUUUCCAGUUCUGUUUCUAAAACUCUGCUGCUCCUGCCACAAAGCCCAGGACAGGAAACUUGCCCAAGUUAAUUUUAUGCUGAAGAGAAAUGCAGUGAAAGACAGGGGUCUGAGCUGCCUCUUCUUCAGUGGAACUUAUAAGAUUUGACUUAAAAAUCCACUACUUCUGUCCUGCUUUAUUUUCUGGAAAACUGG